GCCUCUUUAGCUCAGUGGUAGAGCACUGGUCUCGUAAACCAGGGGUCGUGAGUUCAAACCUCACAGGAGGUA
rnacentral:tRNA from 1 species